rnacentral:snRNA from 1 species
AGCUUUGCACAGUGGCAGUAUUGUAGCCAGUGAGGUUUAUCUGAGGCAUGAUUAUUGCUAAUUGAG